UGGCUUAGAGGGUAAAGCACCUGCCUGCAAUGCAGGAGACCCGGGUUUGAUCCCUGG
rnacentral:tRNA from 1 species